rnacentral:tRNA from 1 species
GCGCUCGUGGCUCAGCUGGAUAGAGCGUCUGACUACGAAUCAGAAGGCCGGGGGUUCGAAUCCCUCCGAGCGCACCA